AGAGUUUGAUCCUGGCUCAGGACGAACGCUGGCGGCGUGCUUAACACAUGCAAGUCGAGCGGAAAGGCCCUUCGGGGUACUCGAGCGGCGAACGGGUGCGUAACACGUGAGCGACCUGCCCCUCCGCGGGGGAUAGCCGGCCCAACGGCCGGGUAACACCGCAUACGCUCCAGUCGGGGCAUCCCGAGUGGAGGAAACCUCCGGGGCGGAGGGAGGGGCUCGCGGCCUAUCAGCUAGUUGGCGGGGUGACGGCCCACCAAGGCGAUGAUCGAUAGCUGGUCUGAGAGGACGGCCAGCCACACUGGAACUGAGACACGGUCCAGACUCCUACGGGAGGCAGCAGUGAGGAAUUUUGCGCAAUGGGCGAAAGCCUGACGCAGCAACGCCGCGUGGGGGACGAAGGCUCUCGGGUUGUAAACCCCUUUUCUUCGGGAAGAUGAUGACGGUACCGAAGGAAUAAGUCACGGCAAACUACGUGCCAGCAGCCGCGGUAAUACGUAGGUGGCAAGCGUUGUCCGGAUUUACUGGGCGUAAAGAGCGCGUAGGCGGCUUUCUAAGUCUAUGGUGAAAUCUCCUGGCUUAACUAGGAGGGGUCUGUAGAUACUGGAAGGCUUGAGUACCGCAGAGGAAGAUGGAAUUCCCGGUGGAGUGGUGAAAUGCGUAGAUAUCGGGAGGAACACCAGAGGCGUAGGCGGUCUUCUGGGCGGUUACUGACGCUGAGGCGCGAAAGCGUGGGGAGCGAACCGGAUUAGAUACCCUGGUAGUCC
rnacentral:rRNA from 1 species